UACCUGGUUGAUCCUGCCAGUAAUCAUAUGCUUGUCUCAAAGAUUAAGCCAUGCAUGUCUAAGUACAUGCCGAAAUAAGGCGAAACCGCGAAUGGCUCAUUAAAUCAGUUAUGGUUCCUUAGAUCGUUUCUUCCUACUUGGAUAACUGUGGCAAUUCUAGAGCUAAUACAUGCAGUGAGCCUGAAGCCCUUUGGGCGACGGGUGCUUUUAUUAGACCAAUAUCGAUCGGGUUUCGGCCCGUAUUGUGUGGUGACUCUGGAUAACUUUGUGCUGAUCGCAUGGCCACGAGCCGGCGACAGUUUCUUUCAAGUGUCUGCCUUAUCAACUUUCGAUGGUAGGUUACUUGCUUACCAUGGUUGUUACGGGUAACGGAGAAUCAGGGUUCGAUUCCGGAGAGGGAGCCUGAGAAACGGCUACCACAUCCAAGGAAGGCAGCAGGCGCGCAAAUUACCCACUCCCGGCACGGGGAGGUAGUGACGAAAAAUAACAAUACGGGACUCUUUUGAGGCCCUGUAAUUGAAAUGAGUACACUCUAAAUCCUUUAACGAGGAUCAAUUGGAGGGCAAGUCUGGUGCCAGCAGCCGCGGUAAUUCCAGCUCCAAUAGCGUAUACUAAAGCUGCUGCGGUUAAAAAGCUCGUAGUUGGAUCUCAGUUCCAGACGAGUAGUGCAUCUACCCGAUGCGACGGCUCGGACUGAACAUCAUGCCGGUCCUUUCUUGGUGCACUUCAUUGUGUGCCUCGAGAAGGCCGGUGCUUUUACUUUGAAAAAAUUAGAGUGCUCAACGCAGGCGAGUCGCCUGAAUAAACUUGCAUGGAAUAAUAGAACAAGACCUCGUUUCUGUUCUGUUGGUUUUUGGAAUACGAGGUAAUGAUUAAGAGGGACAGACGGGGGCAUUCGUAUUGCGGCGCUAGAGGUGAAAUUCUUGGACCGUCGCAAGACGAACUACUGCGAAAGCAUUUGCCAAGAAUGUUUUCUUUGAUCAAGAACGAAAGUCAGAGGUUCGAAGGCGAUCAGAUACCGCCCUAGUUCUGACCAUAAACGAUGCCAACCAGCGAUCCGCCUGAGUUACUCAAAUGACUCGGCGGGCAGCUUCCGGGAAACCAAAGUAUUUGGGUUCCGGGGGAAGUAUGGUUGCAAAGCUGAAACUUAAAGGAAUUGAUGGAAGGGCACCACCAGGAGUGGAGCCUGCGGCUUAAUUUGACUCAACACGGGAAAACUUACCCGGCCCGGACACUGGGAGGAUUGACAGAUUGAGAGCUCUUUCUUGAUUCGGUGGAUGGUGGUGCAUGGCCGUUCUUAGUUGGUGGAGCGAUUUGUCUGGUUAAUUCCGAUAACGAACGAGACUCUAGCCUAUUAAAUAGGUGCGGGGUUCCCAGCACCUUACAACCUUCUUAGAGGGACAAGCGGCUCCUAGCCGCACGAAACAGAGCAAUAACAGGUCUGUGAUGCCCUUAGAUGUCCGGGGCCGCACGCGCGCUACACUGAAGGAAGCAGCGUGUCUUUAUCCCAGUCUGAAAAGACUGGGUAACCCGUGGAACUUCUUUCGUGAUUGGGAUAGGGGCUUGCAAUUGUUCCCCUUGAACGAGGAAUUCCCAGUAAGCGCGAGUCAUAAGCUCGCGUUGAUUACGUCCCUGCCCUUUGUACACACCGCCCGUCGCUACUACCGAUUGAAUGAUUUAGUGAGGUCUUCGGACCGAUGUCCGGCGCGGCCUUUCGGUUGCGCCGGUCUGUUGGAAAGAUGACCAAACUUGAUCAUUUAGAGGAAGUAAAAGUCGUAACAAGGUUUCCGUAGGUGAACCUGCGGAAGGAUCAUUA
rnacentral:rRNA from 1 species